rnacentral:rRNA from 1 species
AAAUUGAAGAGUUUGAUCAUGGCUCAGAUUGAACGCUGGCGGCAGGCCUAACACAUGCAAGUCGAACGGUAACAGGAAGCAGCUUGCUGCUUCGCUGACGAGUGGCGGACGGGUGAGUAAUGUCUGGGAAACUGCCUGAUGGAGGGGGAUAACUACUGGAAACGGUAGCUAAUACCGCAUAAUGUCGCAAGACCAAAGAGGGGGACCUUCGGGCCUCUUGCCAUCGGAUGUGCCCAGAUGGGAUUAGCUUGUUGGUGGGGUAACGGCUCACCAAGGCGACGAUCCCUAGCUGGUCUGAGAGGAUGACCAGCCACACUGGAACUGAGACACGGUCCAGACUCCUACGGGAGGCAGCAGUGGGGAAUAUUGCACAAUGGGCGCAAGCCUGAUGCAGCCAUGCCGCGUGUAUGAAGAAGGCCUUCGGGUUGUAAAGUACUUUCAGCGGGGAGGAAGGGAGUAAAGUUAAUACCUUUGCUCAUUGACGUU